rnacentral:lncRNA from 1 species
GAGAGAUCAAGCCUUGAGUCCGCCUUUUGAUGCAGUCUCCAUGGAAGCAACAUGGACGUCUGUUCACUGAAAUUCUGGAGUUUGCUGAUGACGGAUAUAAGGCUAAUAUGACAAACUGAAACACACUUGUGACAUACUCCAAAACAAUGAAGACAACGGGAUUUAGAAGGCUCCGGGGGUGAUCCACACAUGGAUGACCAAUAGAAACGAAGGCCGUUAACCUUUCUGCUAACAGAACUCACCUUCAAACAACACAGAAGAUGCCCGCAUAUCUCUACUGCCACUUCUCAUUUACGUCUGGCUGAUUCACAGUGAACCGCAACAGUGGCCUUUUUUGGGUAAAUUCUGCAGAUUCACAUUUAAUAUGAAGAAAGCAAUACGAAGAGAACUGAACUGUUGGACAUGAGCUGAUCAUCUAUGACACAAC